rnacentral:rRNA from 1 species
AUAGUCUAUGCUACCAAGAGGCCAAAGGUCAACCUGGUGCGACUUGAGAGCAAUGAUGCUCUCAAGGAUGAAAUAGUUGUACCCAGGGGUACUCUCGUGACUUGCCUUGCAAGCAUAGAGCUGCAGUUUGAAGAUGUUGGUGCUCCUAUUCAAUUUCUGGAGUUCUUUGAUUCAUUUGGCAAGAUCUGCAAAAUAAGGAAGGGGCAACUAGAAGAAACUCUCAAAGACUUAACUCAACUUGAAGAGGUGUCUUUAGUUGUUGCCGACCUUCACAUAAAGUUGUUCUCCAUCAUAGAAAUUGGCAAAGAUAUCUCUUUUGAGUAUCCAGGACAUGUAGAUGAAUGGAUAAGAAAAGUCGGCGAGUACAUCACUUUGACAUUACACAGAGAAGAUUUCACCCUUCGCUGCUUAAAUCAGGGGGUAUCAGGAUAUACAAAUUUGAACCCUUCUUGUAAGUUGGAGGUGCUGAAUUGUUUGUGUGAUGAGGCAUUAUCUUCUGAAAAGUUGAGGACCUGGAUUGACAUUAAAGAUAGAGAAUGUGUGUACAGACAAAAAAUCAAAGCUGCAACUAGAAAGCAAAAGGAGCUAAAAGGAAGAUAUAAUGACAUGGCUAAAACAAUCGAAGGAGGAAAAACUGCUAGCAAAGAGGAAGUUAAUAAUAUCCUUUCUCAAAUAAAGGAAGCAUAAGAAGUCAAACAUGCUUCUUAUGCUUCCUUUAUUUGA